rnacentral:siRNA from 1 species
UGCAAGAUCUCCAUCUCUCUGC